AAGGGCACCACAAGAACGCGUGGAGCAUGUGGCUUAAUUUGACUCAACGCGGGAAAUCUUACCGGGUCCGGACACACUGAGGAUUGACAGGUUUAUAUAAUAAAAUGACUUGCUUAUUUUAUCAUAAAAUAUGCUAGUCCUUUCAUGAUUGUGUGAUAGGUGGUGCAUGGCCGUUCUUAGUUCGUGGAGUGAUCUGUCUGCUUAAUUGCGUUUCACAAGAGGUCUAAAAAAGGUUGUUGUAUUUAUGACAGUGUUGCUAUUAAGCUCUUUCGGGAGUUGUAAUGCUGCUUCAUAUUGCACAACUUAUCUAAAAACCUCGAAGGCAACGAACGUGACCGCAUCCCGUUGUUGCCUCUCUAACCAUAAUACUUGAACAUGUGCUUAGUAUUUCCUUUGUGAAAUACGGCCUGUUUCAAUUGUAUAGUAGAGGGAAACUACGGGGACUGCUGGAUUUUUUCAAAACAGAGGAAGGAUGCGGCAAUAACAGGUCUGUGAUGCCCUUAGAUGUUCCGGGCUGCACACGUGCUACAAUGAUUAGUGCAGUAAGAAUCUUCAACAGCUUAGAAACAAUUGGGUAACUCUCUCUGCUUCGGUAGAGCUGAGCAACCUUUCGUUUUACCUCGCCUACUUCGAAAGUAAGCAGGUAAUCAAUUCGAAGUACUGAUUUCCAUUUCAAAGCGCAUGUUAUGGCACUUCUGUGCUAUAGUUCGCUAUAGUUUCAGUUGUGCUUUGCCUUAAUUUUUAUUUCUUGGUGGGACAGACCCUUGUUAAUUAUUGGUCUCGCUUUCAACUAGGAAUGCCUUGUACGGGUCUUUGGUUCAACAAACCACCCGGAAUAUGUCCCUGCCCUUUGUACACACCGCCCGUCGCUCUUACCGAUGGACUAUUCUGUGAGUUUGAGGGACUGCCGCUUAUAUGCUUUCGAGUAUUUUACUCGGCGGAAACUUAAACGAACAGUGUGGUCUAAAGGAAAGAGAAGUCGUAACAAGGCAUCGGUAGGUGAACCUGCAGAAGGAUCA
rnacentral:rRNA from 1 species